rnacentral:tRNA from 1 species
GAGGGUAUAGCUCAGUGGUAGAGCACAUGUUUAACAUGCAGGAGGUCCUGGGUUCAAUCCCCAGUACCUCUA